GUCCAGACUCCUACGGGAGGCAGCAGUGGGGGAUAUUGCACAAUGGGGGAAACCCUGAUGCAGCGACGCCGCGUGAGUGAAGAAGUAUUUCGGUAUGUAAAGCUCUAUCAGCAGGGAAGAAAAUGACGGUACCUGACUAAGAAGCCCCGGCUAACUACGUGCCAGCAGCCGCGGUAAUACGUAGGGGGCAAGCGUUAUCCGGAUUUACUGGGUGUAAAGGGAGCGUAGACGGCAUGGCAAGUCAGAUGUGAAAGCCCGGGGCUCAACCCCGGGACUGCAUUUGAAACUGUCAGGCUGGAGUGCAGGAGAGGUAAGUGGAAUUCCUAGUGUAGCGGUGAAAUGCGUAGAUAUUAGGAGGAACACCAGUGGCGAAGGCGGCUUACUGGACUGUAACUGACGUUGAGGCUCGAAAGCGUGGGGAGCAAACAGGAUUAGAUACCCGCGUACA
rnacentral:rRNA from 1 species